GAUCCUGGCUCAGGAUUAACGCUGGCGGCAUGCCUAAGACAUGCAAGUCGAACGGAACACCCCACUGAAACUUGAAUGAAGUUAGAGAGCUUGCUCGAAGAUGGAAUGACGGUGGACGUGGGAUUCUGUGUUCAGUGGCGAACGGGUGAGUAACACGUGGGUUACCUGCCUCUAAGUUGGGGACAACAGUUGGAAACGACUGCUAAUACCGAAUGUGAUAGUAAUAUUAAAGGAGCCUUUAAAGCUUACG
rnacentral:rRNA from 1 species